rnacentral:rRNA from 4 species
CCGUGGUAAUUCUAGAGCUAAUACAUGCUAAAAACCCCGACUUCGGAAGGGGUGUGUUUAUUAGAUAAAAAACCAAUGCCCUUCGGGGCUCUUUGGUGAUUCAUGAUAACCUAACGGAUCGCAUGGCCUUGCGCCGGCGACGGUUCAUUCAAAUUUCUGCCCUAUCAACUUUCGAUGGUAAGGUAUUGGCUUACCAUGGUUUCAACGGGUAACGGGGAAUUAGGGUUCGAUUCCGGAGAGGGAGCCUGAGAAACGGCUACCACAUCCAAGGAAGGCAGCAGGCGCGCAAAUUACCCAAUCCCGACACGGGGAGGUAGUGACAAUAAAUACUGAUACAUGGCUCUUUAGAGUCUUGUAAUCGGAAUGAGUACAAUUUAAACCCCUUAACGAGGAACAAUUGGAGGGCAAGUCUGGUGCCAGCAGCCGCGGUAAUUCCAGCUCCAAUAGCGUAUAUUAAAGUUGUUGCAGUUAAAAAGCUCGUAGUUGAAACUUGGGUCUGGCUAGCGGGUCCGCCUCACCGCGUGCACUUGUCCGGCUGGACCUUUCCUUCUGGAGAACCUCAUGCCCUUCACUGGGUGUGUUGGGGAACCAGGACUUUUACUUUGAAAAAAUUAGAGUGUUCAAAGCAGGCCUUUGCUCGAAUACGUUAGCAUGGAAUAAUAGAAUAGGACGUGCGGUCCUAUUUUGUUGGUUUCUAGGAUCGCCGUAAUGAUUAAUAGGGAUAGUCGGGGGCAUCAGUAUUCAAUUGUCAGAGGUGAAAUUCUUGGAUUUAUUGAAGACUAACUACUGCGAAAGCAUUUGCCAAGGAUGUUUUCAUUAAUCAGUGAACGAAAGUUAGGGGAUCGAAGACGAUCAGAUACCGUCGUAGUCUUAACCGUAAACUAUGCCGACUAGGGAUCGGGCGAUGUUUCUAUCUUGACUCGCUCGGCACCUUA